GCAACAAAAUUGCUGCAACUUCCAACAAAAUCUGAUUUCUACGCAUGUUAAUUGAAAAUGUUUACACAUAAGUUACAAAUCACGAAGCAACAUGUGUCAACAUUUCUACGUAACAUGUGUUGAAAUCAGAUUUUGUUGCAAGUUGCAGCAAUUUUGUUG